rnacentral:rRNA from 1 species
CAGUCGUACCGGCGGUAUCAACCAUCUGGGUGCGAUCAUGUUGGGUGCUGAGGAGCCUAACCGCCUUCUCGCUCGCGUGUUUGUGCUCGUUGGUGUACUUAUUCGCAUGGUAGGUUAACAUCAAUUUCGGUCGUCAUAAAAUGACCGGAGGAAUGUAGCUUUGAUCUCCGUAUUAAAGUGUUAUAGCCUCUGGUAGAUGUGAUGAUCGGGGUUGAGGAUUGCAACCACCCCUCUGGGGCCACUCGUCUGGUCUCUGGUGGUCGCCCUGGUCCCCAAAGCUUGCUGAACGGUCGUCAAAGUUUUGUUUCCCAAAGGGGUAAAACCGGGAUGA